rnacentral:rRNA from 1 species
AUUGAACGCUGGCGGCAUGCCUUACACAUGCAAGUCGAACGGUAACGGGCCUUCGGGUGCCGACGAGUGGCGAACGGGUGCGUAAUACAUCGGAACGUGCCCGAUCGUGGGGUAUAACGAGGCGAAAGCUUUGCUAAUACCGCAUACGAUCUACGGAUGAAAGCAGGGGACCGCAAGGCCUUGCGCGGACGGAGCGGCCGAUGGCAGAUUAGGUAGUUGGUGGGAUAAAAGCUUACCAAGCCGACGAUCUGUAGCUGGUCUGAGAGGAUGAUCAGCCACACUGGGACUGAGACACGGCCCAGACUCCUACGGGAGGCAGCAGUGGGGAAUUUUGGACAAUGGGCGCAAGCCUGAUCCAGCCAUGCCGCGUGCAGGAUGAAGGCCUUCGGGUUGUAAACUGCUUUUGUACGGAACGAAAAGCCUUCUUUUAAUACAGGAGGGUCAUGACGGUACCGUAAGAAUAAGCACCGGCUAACUACGUG